AUUGAACGCUGGCGGCAUGCCUUACACAUGCAAGUCGAACGGCAGCACGGGUGCUUGCACCUGGUGGCGAGUGGCGAUCGGGUGAGUAAUACAUCGGAACAUGUCCUGUAGUGGGGGAUAGCCCGGCGAAAGCCGGAUUAAUACCGCAUACGAUCUACGGAUGUAAGCGGGGGACCUUCGGGCCUCGCGCUAUCGGGUUGGCCGAUGGCUGAUUAGCUAGUUGGUGGGGUAAAGGCCUACCAAGGCGACGAUCAGUAGCUGGUCUGAGAGGACGACCAGCCACACUGGGACUGAGACACGGCCCAGACUCCUACGGGAGGCAGCAGUGGGGAAUUUUGGACAAUGGGCGAAAGCCUGAUCCAGCAAUGCCGCGUGUGUGAAGAAGGCCUUCGGGUUGUAAAGCACUUUUGUCCGGAAAGAAAUCCUUGGCCCUAAUACGGUCGGGGGGAUGACGGUACCGGAAGAAUAAGCACCGGCUAACUACGUG
rnacentral:rRNA from 1 species